rnacentral:rRNA from 1 species
CCUACGGGAGGCAGCAGUGGGGAAUCUUGGACAAUGGGCGCAAGCCUGAUCCAGCCAUGCCGCGUGAGUGAAGAAGGCCUUAGGGUCGUAAAGCUCUUUCGCCUGUGAUGAUAAUGACAGUAGCAGGUAAAGAAACCCCGGCUAACUCCGUGCCAGCAGCCGCGGUAAUACGGAGGGGGUUAGCGUUGUUCGGAAUUACUGGGCGUAAAGCGCGCGUAGGCGGAUUGGAAAGUUGGGGGUGAAAUCCCGAGGCUCAACCUCGGAACUGCCUCCAAAACUCCCAGUCUAGAGUUCGAGAGAGGUGAGUGGAAUUCCAAGUGUAGAGGUGAAAUUCGUAGAUAUUUGGAGGAACACCAGUGGCGAAGGCGGCUCACUGGCUCGAUACUGACGCUGAGGUGCGAAAGUGUGGGGAGCAAACAGGAUUAGAUACCCUGGUAGUCCACACCGUAAACGAUGAAUGCCAGUCGUCGGGCAGUAUACUGUUCGGUGACACACCUAACGGAUUAAGCAUUCCGCCUGGGGAGUACGGUCGCAAGAUUAAAACUCAAAGGAAUUGACGG